ACUCCUACGGGAGGCAGCAGUAGGGAAUCUUCCACAAUGGGCGCAAGCCUGAUGGAGCAACACCGCGUGAGUGAAGAAGGGUUUCGGCUCGUAAAGCUCUGUUGUUAAAGAAGAACACGUAUGAGAGUAACUGUUCAUACGUUGACGGUAUUUAACCAGAAAGUCACGGCUAACUACGUGCCAGCAGCCGCGGUAAUACGUAGGUGGCAAGCGUUAUCCGGAUUUAUUGGGCGUAAAGAGAGUGCAGGCGGUUUUUCUAAGUCUGAUGUGAAAGCCUUCGGCUUAACCGGAGAAGUGCAUCGGAAACUGGAUAACUUGAGUGCAGAAGAGGUAGUGGAACUCCAUGUGUAGCGGUGGAAUGCGUAGAUAUAUGGAAGAACACCAGUGGCGAAGGCGGCUACCUGGUCUGCAACUGACGCUGAGACUCGAAAGCAUGGGUAGC
rnacentral:rRNA from 1 species